GCUGAAUCACCCAGCCAGGGCUAGUAUUUGACUAUUAUGAAUGAAACUUUUAUGAACACUUGUGUGCAUGUCUUUGUGUGGACAUAUCUUCAUUUGUCUUAGGGAUUGAUAAAUUACAUAUUAAGUGUAUAUUUAGUUUUAUUU